AAUAGAGUCAUAGUAGGAACAAUCAGGUAUCCAUUGUCUGCAAUAGUUUAUCAUUCCCAGGAAGGUGAGCAACUCCUUCUGGGUACAUGGGAGCACCA